rnacentral:rRNA from 1 species
GACGAACGCUGGCGGCGUGCUUAACACAUGCAAGUCGAACGGAAAGGCCCCUUUGGGGGUCCUCGAGUGGCGAACGGGUGAGUAACACGUGAGUAACCUGCCCUUGACUUCGGGAUAACUUCAGGAAACUGGGGCUAAUACCGGAUAGGAAUCCUUGCUGCAUGGUGGGGGUUGGAAAGCUUCGGGGGUUUUGGAUGGACUGACGGCGUAUCUGCUUGUUGGUGGGGUAGUGGCUUACCAAGGCUUUGUCGGGUAGCCGGCCUGUGAGGGCGACCGGCCACAUUGAGUCCUAGGUGAGGCCCAGGCACCGACUGGAGGCAGCAGGGGGGAAGAUUGCACAAGGAGCGGAAGGCGGAUGCAGCAGCGCCUCGGGCGGUAUAACGGCCUUAGGGGGGAAAACCGCUUUCAGCAGGGGCGAAGCUUGUGGUGACGGUACCUGCAGAAGAAGCACCGGCUAACUACGUG